GUUAAUUCCUCAGAUGAUACAGUAAGGUCGGUAUCUGUGGGCUGGCGCUCACUUGGUUUAGCCCUAAUUAACAUUCGCAAGAGCGGGAUGGGGCGGGGACGGGGGCGGUCUUGUUUGUUGAUGCUAAAUACGCUAGCUAGCGUAUCUAGCAAUUGUUUUGCUAGAUAGGCACUGCUAGAUACACUACAUUUCUAGACUACUCUGGGGUAAACGGAACAUUCAGCCACAUGUGGUGAAGAAAGUAUGCGUAGUGUCGCGGAAGGGAGUAUUUGAAUGAAUGAAAGCCAAGUGGGACGCGAGGUGCCUGAAGAAUAUAAAUAAAUGAAAGGAGAGAGAGGGGAAAUGUAAGUGAAGAGGCCCCCGUUCCACACGAGGUAUAUCAGGGACCAUAUCACUAAAAAUUAAAACAAUAGAUAGGAUAGGAAAAUGGGGGAGUGAGUAUGGGAAGGAAGGGGGCUAGCGAGACCACAAGGAUCAAGCACAACAGGACCGGCGGGGAAAGAAGACCCCAUCAAGCCCGACGUCCAUUGAUCUGCCCACCCUGUUGGUUCCGGUCUGACAAACUCCCAUAAGCGGGACAAGUCCCGCGGAAGCGGCCAGGCUCCUGCAGUGGCUGUUGUUUGGCCAGGAGGAAGCGACAGUGAAUGAAAGGCUAAAGGUGGCAGUUUAAAUUUCAACCAACUGGUUUCUGCCGUAACGCCCUUUACACCCGCAACGUACCCGCACACGGUCAAGAACGAAAUAAUAUCGUUCAAUAUUCGGCAGGUUUCCAUCUAAUUUAUUAGGCAAUAAUAGUACAGGGAGGCUCUCCCAGUCACCCAGAAUUCCGCGCAGCUUCAGCAGAGAUAUAGAACGUAUAUAUUCCACGGCUUCGCAUAUUAUGACAGCACAGGGCAGUUGGUUAUCAGGCACCUCUUUCCAGCACCUCAUGUUCGAGAACCGGAACACACGAUACCCCUGAUCAACAAGAUUGCUCACGUGUCCGAAUUUAAAAGAAAGUUUAUCAUCACAAGUAGGUGUGUAUCGACGUUGUUGUGAUGUUACGAACCUCUCCGCACCUUGUCGCUUUUUAAGUGCAGGGCAACGCAGCCUCCUCUAACACCUCUAGGUUAGCCAGUACAGUUAUUGUUCCUUCCGUCCUCCUUUCCUUCUUUCUUUUUAGUGGUAGAAUAAAAGGAAUGGAAUGGGGUUGUCGAGCCAUUCUAGGAGUGGGAAUUGACCACACCUUUCCAUUCCAAGGACUUGAAAAGGAUGGAAUUAUCAGAAAUCUGAAUUUCCUCACUACGGAAUUGGCAUUGAACGGAUGACACCAUUUUGCAACUCUGGAUGAAACGCACGGACACGGAGAAGCGCCGAUACUUCGCUGAUACCUUGCAGCACAGAUAAGGUGAGGCGGGUUAAGGUCCACAUGCCGGUAGCUCACUUUGAGGAAGUGCUGAAAUCAUGGCGGCCAACAGCGUGAGAGACGUCGCAGAGAAGCCAAGAAAUAAGCGUAUGCAGAGGAUUCAGUGACACGACUUCGAGAUAUACGUUGCCUCGUCAGUCUGAUUUCGUCAUCUGCAUCUCCGGACAGCAAAGAGAAGGCAAGGGGUCUACCGACGCAUUCAUUGAAUAUUCCUGCAAAGUAUUCGACAAGUCUGCCAAGACCAUGAAACAACAGGAGCUUGCAGAAUUACUCCGAGCAGUCAAGAGGAAACUUCUCAAUGCUGCAGUCGACACGAGUGAUAUUCGUUUGCCCAGCCACAUAUGAAGCAUCACAAGGCAGUUGUACUUCCACAGGGUGUCUGAACAGUCCGGAUCUUCAACGAUAGUUCCAGGGACUGAGGAGACCAAGAAAGAGACAACCAUGCACGGAAUCCUGAAAGGAGGUCAGAAAGAACUUUUAGUGAUGACGUCGACACGGGUGCAGCCCUGCUCUUCCUGAACCAGAUAUGGAAUCCAUCUGCAAAGGAUCAAUAAGUUAAAUAUCGAUAUAACAGAGUCAAGUAUGUUGAGUAUACAGUGUCACUGACUUGACGACGAACAUGCGACAGCCGUGCAUUUUCGAUGAUCCUGAAUGACACGAAUAAAUACGUGUAUAUUGAGAAUUGUUAUUGAAUAAAAUAAGGGUUGAUAGCGGUGCUGUGUUACCAG